AAAAAAGUUCAUAUUCGUAAUCUACGACCUGAAAAUAGUGUGUAUACCAAUUUUGGCGAAAAUCUGACGAUUUCAAGUUUUCCCAAUAAUAAAAAUUUGGCACUUACCCCCUAUUUCCACUCUUUAUUUAUACUUACAAUCUUACAAUAGAGAUAUAUGUACCUAUAAUGUGUAGUGUUAUGGAUACAAAAACAAAUAAUGGUUUAAUCUGCUUAUUCUGCCAAAAAGAAUUCUCAACUACCUCUAGCAAAAACAAACACAUAAGAAAAUUUCAUCUAGAUUUGGCUCUUACAAAGACAAAAAGAAUAAUUUGCCCACUUUGCUCUUCUAUAUUUUCUUAUCACAGAAAUCUGAUAACCCACUUAAGCGACAACCAUUCUACAGACAUUAGACAGACUAAUUUAAGAUUUAGAAAUUACGAAGAAUUUACAGUGUGGACAAAACUGGAGAACGUAAAACUAGGUUAUGCGAACUAGACAAACUAUAAAACGCAAAAUGGAAGGGUUAUUAUAUUUAAUUGUAAUCGAAGUAAUCCAAGAGAAUUUGUUAGUAAUUGUAAGAAACGAAAGAUGAAGAAAGGAGGUACUAUAAAAAUUAGUGGAACAUGUCCAUCGAGAAUUUAUGUGAAAAUCAUAGAGAAUGGAGAUGUAAAUGUAAAUUUUAUUCAGACAUAUGUUGGACAUGAUGAUGAGUAAGUAUAUAAGGAGGAAACUUUCUAAGAUUGAAACUAUACAAGAUAAAAAUCACAAGUUACCGAGCGAACAAAUUUCCAAAGUUGAAUGUAUUCAAAAACCAAAAAAUGGAGAUUGCGGAACUUGUAAAUUUUUGCUGGUCUUUAAGCGAUGAAAGGUAUUUUGCCGCUAUGGCAGAAUUUAAGAAGACAAUGGCUAGUAUUACAGAAAGCCAAAACACCGAGAGGUCUUGCAAAAAAAUAAAAACGGAGGAGCAGUAAUAGAAUUAAGGCAUUUUAUCUUCCAAACAUUACCUACAUGCAAAAUUGGAGGGUCUCUAUAUCAAACCAGACAGAGGAUCAGUGGAAAGAAAUUUGGCAUUUAUAGACUAUAUGGUAUGGCGCCAAGGUUGAAUCACUGUGUACGUGGAUCGUGUUAGAUAGUGUGUAUUUAAAGGUGUGUAUUAACUUUUGACAAAGACUUCAAAUAAAUCCGGAACCAUACAUAAAUGAAACAAGUUUAGAUUGGAAAGUGCCCAUAAGGACAAUGAAAACAC